rnacentral:rRNA from 1 species
CCUACGGGUGGCAGCAGUAGGGAAUAUUGCUCAAUGGGGGAAACCCUGACGCAGCAACGCCGCGUGGAGGAUGAAGGUUUUCGGAUUGUAAACUCCUUUUGUUAGAGAAGAUAAUGACGGUAUCUAACGAAUAAGCACCGGCUAACUCCGUGCCAGCAGCCGCGGUAAUACGGAGGGUGCAAGCGUUACUCGGAAUCACUGGGCGUAAAGAGCGCGUAGGCGGGAUAGCAAGUCAGAUGUGAAAUCCUAUGGCUUAACCAUAGAACUGCAUUUGAAACUGUUAUUCUGGAGUAUGGGAGAGGUAGGUGGAAUUCUUGGUGUAGUGGUGAAAUGCGUAGAGAUCAAGAGGAAUACUCAUUGCGAAGGCGACCUGCUAGAACAUAACUGACGCUGAUGCGCGAAAGCGUGGGGAGCAAACAGGAUUAGAUACCCGGGUAGUC